CCUACGGGAGGCAGCAGUGAGGAAUAUUGGUCAAUGGGCGAGAGCCUGAACCAGCCAAGUCGCGUGAGGGAGUACUGCCCUAUGGGUUGUAAACCUCUUUUGUCGGGGAGCAAAAGCCGGACGUGUCCGGCUGUGAGAGUACCCGAAGAAAAAGCAUAGGCUAACUCCGUGCCAGCAGCCGCGGUAAUACGGAGGAUGCGAGCGUUAUCCGGAUUUAUUGGGGUUAAAGGGUGCGCAGGCGGAUUUUUAAGUCAGCGGUCAAAUCGUGGGGCUCAACCCCAUCCAGCCGUUGAAACUGGGGAUCUAGAGUGUGCGAGAGGUAUGCGGAAUGCGUGGUGUAGCGGUGAAAUGCAUAGAUAUCACGCAGAACCCCGAUUGCGAAGGCAGCAUACCGGUGCACAACUGACGCUCAGGCACGAAAGCGUGGGUAUCGAACAGGAUUAGAUACCCCAGUAGUC
rnacentral:rRNA from 1 species